UACAGCCAUAUCAUAUUGAAACACUAGUUCCUGUAUGAUCACCGAAGUUAAGCAAUGUUGAGCAUGGUCAGUACCUAGAGGAGUGAUCACUUGGAAAUACCAGGU